AACUAACGCUGGCGGCGUGCCUAACACAUGCAAGUCGUACGAGAAAGCCGGCUUCGGCUGGUGAGUAAAGUGGCGCACGGGUGAGUAACGCGUGGAUAAUCUGCCCUUAAGUGUAGAAUAACGUACCGAAAGGUGCGCUAAUACCGCAUAAUGCCUGGCAACACAAGUUGUCCGGCCAAAGAAGGCCUCUGUUUACAAGCUUUCGCUUCAGGAUGAGUCCGCGUACCAUUAGCUUGUUGGUGGGGUAAUGGCCUACCAAGGCUGCGAUGGUUAGCUGGUCUGAGAGGAUGAUCAGCCACACUGGAACUGAGACACGGUCCAGACUCCUACGGGAGGCAGCAGUGAGGAAUAUUGCGCAAUGGGGGCAACCCUGACGCAGCAACGCCGCGUGAGUGAGGAAGGUUUUCGGACUGUAAAGCUCUGUCGAGCGGGAAGAAGUGUACCAUGGCUAAUAUCCAUGAUAUUUGACGGUACCG
rnacentral:rRNA from 1 species